rnacentral:rRNA from 1 species
UGCGUAGGGGGCAAGCGUUAUCCGGAUUUACUGGGUGUAAAGGGAGCGUAGACGGUAAAGCAAGUCUGAAGUGAAAUGCCAGUGCUCAACACUGGAACUGCUUUGGAAACUGUUUGGCUGGAGUGCAGGAGAGGUAAGUGGAAUUCCUAGUGUAGCGGUGAAAUGCGUAGGUAUUAGGAGGAACACCAGUGGCGAAGGCGGCUUACUGGACUGUAACUGACGUUGAGGCUCGAAAGCGUGGGGAGCAAACAGG